rnacentral:rRNA from 1 species
GAGUUCNCUUCGGGGACGCUAAGACAGGUGGUGCAUGGCUGUCGUCAGCUCGUGUCGUGAGAUGUUGGGUUAAGUCCCGCAACGAGCGCAACCCUUGUUAUUAGUUGCCAGCAUUAAGUUGGGCACUCUAAUGAGACUGCCGGUGACAAACCGGAGGAAGGUGGGGAUGACGUCAAGUCAUCAUGCCCCUUAUGACCUGGGCUACACACGUGCUACAAUGGGCAGUACAACGAGAAGCGAGCCUGCGAAGGCAAGCGAAUCUCUGAAAGCUGUUCUCAGUUCGGACUGCAGUCUGCAACUCGACUGCACGAAGCUGGAAUCGNUAGUAAUCGCGGAUCAGCACGCCG